UACAGAGGGUGCAAGCGUUAAUCGGAAUUACUGGGCGUAAAGCGUGCGUAGACGGUUGCGUAAGUCAGAUGUGAAAGCCCCGGGCUCAACCUGGGAAUUGCAUUUGAGACUGCGUAGCUAGGGUGCGGAAGAGGAGAAUGGAAUUCCUGGUGUAGCGGUGAAAUGCGCAGAUAUCAGGAAGAACACCCGUGGCUAAGGCGGUUCUCUAGUACGGUACUGACGCUGAGACGCGAAAGCGUGGGGAGCGAACAGG
rnacentral:rRNA from 1 species